CAGUCGCCGCGGGAAUACGUAGGUGGCAAGCGUUGUCCGGAAUUAUUGGGCGUAAAGCGCGCGCAGGUGGUUUAAUAAGUCUGAUGUGAAAGCCCGCGGCUCAACCGUGGAGGGUCAUUGGAAACUGUUAAACUUGAGUGCAGGAGAGAAAAGUGGAAUUCCUAGUGUAGCGGUGAAAUGCGUAGAGAUUAGGAGGAACACCAGUGGCGAAGGCGGCUUUUUGGCCUGUAACUGACACUGAGGCGCGGAAGCGUGGGGAGCAAACAGGAUUAGAUACCCGAGUAGUCCCUGUCUCUUAUAA
rnacentral:rRNA from 1 species